rnacentral:rRNA from 1 species
CGGACCGGCGCACGGGUGAGUAACGCGUAUGCAACUUACCUAUCAGGAGGGGAUAACCCGGCGAAAGUCGGACUAAUACCGCAUGAAGCGGGGGCCCCGCAUGGGGAUAUUUGCUAAAGAUUCAUCGCUGAUAGAUAGGCAUGCGUUCCAUUAGGCAGUUGGCGGGGUAACGGCCCACCAAACCGACGAUGGAUAGGGGUUCUGAGAGGAAGGUCCCCCACAUUGGUACUGAGACACGGACCAA